AAGGAUCAUUACAGAGUUAGGGUCUUCUAGGCCCGAUCUCCAACCCCAUGUUUAACUACCAUGUUGCUUUGGCGGGCCCGUCUCACGACCGUCGAAAGUCUUUCGGCUUUUGACCCGUGCCCGCCAGUAGCCUUCUACAAAUUCUUGACCAAAUGUGAUGUCUGAGUGAUAAAACUUAAUAGUUAAAACUUUCAACAACGGAUCUCUUGGUUCUGGCAUCGAUGAAGAACGCAGCGAAAUGCGAUAAGUAAUGCGAAUUGCAGAAUUCAGUGAGUCAUCGAAUCUUUGAACGCACAUUGCGCCCUUUGGUAUUCCGAAGGGCAUGCCUGUUCGAGCGUCAUUAUCAACCCUCAAGCCUGGCUUGCUGUUGGACCUUUACGUCGGUACAAGACGGGUCCCAAAGAUAAUGACAGAGUCGUGUUGGACCCUCGAUGCAACGAGCUUUAAUUAGCACGCAUGGAAGUGGCCGGGCGCUCUUGUCUCAACCCUAUUUUUACAAGGUUGACCUCGGAUCAGGUAGGAAUACCCGCUGAACUUAA
rnacentral:misc_RNA from 1 species